rnacentral:rRNA from 1 species
GACGAACGCUGGCUUCUUUCUUCCCACCUUCACUUCGAACUUAAAUGCCCUGCUUUUUUUUUUUGCUCGAGUGGCGAACGGGUGAGUAACACGUGAGUAACCUGCCCUUGACUUUGGGAUAACUUCAUUAAACUGGGGCUAUUACCGGUUGGAAGCUCCUGCGUCAUGGGGGUGUUGGGAAGUUUUCGGCGGUGUGGGAUGGACUGGCGGCUUUGGAGAUGGUUGGUGGGGUAGUGGCUUACCAAGGCUUUGCCUGGGAGCCGGAAUGGGAGGGUGACAGGACACAUUGGGAAUGAGAUACGGCCCAGACUCCUACGGGAGGCAGAAGUGGGGAAUAUUGCACAAUGGGAGGAAGCCUGAUGCAGCAACGCCGCGUGAGGGAGGAAGGAGGUCGGGUUGUAAACCGCUUUCGCCUGUGACGAAGCGUGAGUGAAGGUAAUGGGUAAAGAAGCAAAGGAGAAAGACGGG